AUGAAUGUAAAGGUGUUGCUAUUGAAAGAUUAUUUCUCAAUUUGACACUCAUGAAUGUUGAUGAUAGAAUAUGAAGGAUUCUUCAAUAUAAAGUAUACCUUGAAUUGGUAGGGCUUAUGCAUCAUUUUCUUGUAUAAAUGAUUAUAUGGUUGAUUGUUGAAUCCUCGGAUCGGUAGGCUAGUGGCACCCUUCCACACGAGCUUAUAAUGAACCUUGGAAUCGGUAGGCC
rnacentral:lncRNA from 1 species